rnacentral:rRNA from 1 species
UGCGUUAUCAGCUUUCGAUUGUAGUUUCUGCGACUACCAUGGUUGUCACGGGUAACGGGGAAUCAGGGUUCGAUUCCGGAGAGGGAGCGUGAGAAACGGCUACCACAUCCAAGGAAGGCAGCAGGCGCGCAAAUUACCCACUCCCGGCACGGGGAGGUAGUGACGAAAAAUAACGAUACGGGACUCUUACGAGGCCUCGUAAUCGGAAUGAGUACACUUUAAAUAUUUUAACGAGGAACAAUUGGAGGGCAAGUCUGGUGCCAGCAGCCGCGGUAAUUCCAGCUCCAAUAGCGUAUACUAAAAUUGUUGCGGUUAAAAAGCUCGUAGUUGCAUUUGUGCGCCGCGCUGUCGGUGCACCGCAUCCGCGGUGAUACUGACACGUCUGCGGAGCAUAUCGUCGGUGAGCCGGCGGUCACACGCCGGUUCAAUAUCAAAAUCCUAUCGCGGUGCUCUUUGUCGAGUGUCGAGGUGGGCCGACAAUUUUACUUUGAACAAAUUAGAGUGCUCAAAGCGGGCUCAAUGCUGCUUGAAUAUUUCGUGCAUGGAAUAAUAGAAUAUGAUCUCGGUUCUAUUUUGUUGGUUUUCAGAACUCCGAGGUAAUGAUUAAUAGGGAUAACUGGGGGCAUUCGUAUUGCGACGUUAGAGGUGAAAUUCUUGGAUCGUCGCAAGACGAACAUCAGCGAAAGCAUUUGCCAAAGGUGUUUUCAUCAAUCAAGAACGAAAGUUAGAGGUUCGAAGGCGAUUAGAUACCGCCCUAGUUCUAACCGUAAAUAUGUCAUCUAGCGAUCCGCCGACGUUACUACAAUGGCUCGGCGGGCAGCUUCCGGGAAACCAAAGAUUUUGGACUCCGGGGGAAGUAUGGUUGCAAAGCUGAA